rnacentral:rRNA from 1 species
CCUACGGGUGGCUGCAGUGGGGAAUAUUGCACAAUGGGGGAAACCCUGAUGCAGCGACGCCGCGUGAGUGAAGAAGUAUUUCGGUACGUAAAGCUCUAUCUGCAGGGAAGAAAAAAAGUCCUUUGGACUUUGGACGGUACCUGACCAAGAAGCACCGGCUAACUACGUGCCACCAGCCGCGGCAAUACGUAGGGGGCAAGGGUUAUCCGGAUUUACUGGGUGGUAAGGGAGCGUAGACGGCAGCGCAAGUCUGGAGGGACAUGCCGGGUCCCAACCCCGGAACUGCGUUGGAAACUGGGCAGCUGGAGUGCAGGAGAGGUAAGCGGAAUGCCUAGUGUAGCGGUGAAAUGCGUAGAUAUUAGGAGGAACACCAGUGGCGAAGGCGGCUUACUGGACUGUAACUGACGUUGAGGCUCGAAAGCGUGGGGAGCAAACAGGAUUAGAUACCCCUGUAGUC